rnacentral:tRNA from 1 species
UGGCUCAGUGGGAAGAGCGUGAGACUCUUGAUCUCAGGGUCGUGAGUUCAAGCUCCAC